rnacentral:rRNA from 1 species
GACGUAGGGCGCGAGCGUUGUCCGGAUUUAUUGGGCGUAAAGAGCUCGUAGGCGGCUUGUCGCGUCGUUCGUGAAAACCCACAGCUCAACUGUGGGCUUGCGGUCGAUACGGGCAGGCUGGAGUACUGCAGGGGAGACUGGAAUUCCUGGUGUAGCGGUGGAAUGCGCAGAUAUCAGGAGGAACACCGGUGGCGAAGGCGGGUCUCUGGGCAGUAACUGACGCUGAGGAGCGAAAGCGUGGGGAGCGAACAGG